rnacentral:lncRNA from 1 species
UAAUUACGGAGUAGUCAAUAAUUACAUGGUAGCAAUUGUAUUUCAACGUUCAUUAAUUACGAAACAAUCUUUUGUAAGUGUCUACAUGGUAGCUUCGUUGUAUCCUAUCUCUUCUUUCCGUCGUUCGUUAUGUAGUUAAUCUGUUGUUUUGACACACCCAUGUUAAUUGUUCGUUAUCUUCCUACAUAUUUGUUUUCUUCCUUUUCUGACUCCGUUUCUAAAUUAAUCUACGUAUUGUUCAUUAUUCUAACCAUAAGCCAAUAACUAAGUAGACACUUACAAAUUAUCGAACAUACUACAUAUUAUCAAAUUCUUCAACCCUACACACUUUCAUGUUAUUUUCA